rnacentral:tRNA from 1 species
GGUGUCGCCAAGUGGUUAAGGCAGCGGCUUGUGGUGCCGCCAUCCGGGGGUUCGAAUCCCCUCAUCC